rnacentral:sRNA from 1 species
GGUUGAGACAUGAGGCAAGGAAUGUAGUGGCUCAAGAGAGCCUCCCUCCUUGGCCUCCCAAAGUGUUGGGAUAACAAGGAUAACAGGAGUGAGCCGCCAUGCCUGGCUGAGCCAGUAAUUUUUACUCUCUUAAAAACUAGGUUAUUCCUAAUGAUUCUGCCUUUGAGUUGAAAUUACUGUGUGUGUGUGCGUGUGCACACGUGCAUGCAUCCAAGUCUUUUUAUAAAUGUGCUGCUCCCUGUUUUUAGUUUAUAAGAGAACAUUGCUAAUACUUCUUACUGACUUUCUUGUAUUUCCUUACUAGUUUUUCCAGAAAGGAGGAGUCAAGGAAGCCCUUAGUGAACGAGAACUCUUCAAUGCUGUUUCAGGCUUAAACAUCACAGCAGAUAAUGAAGCUGAUUUUUUAGCUGAGAUAGAAGCUUUGGAGAAAAUGAAUGAAGAUCACGUUCAGAAGAAUGGAAGGAAAGCUGCUUCAUUUUUGAAAGAUGAUGGAGACCCACCACUACUAUAUGAUGAAUAGCACUAAUAUCCACUGCUUCAGUGUUAACACAGCAGUGAUUGUCAGCUGCCAAUAGCAAAUGAAGUUAUGGGUGACUUGAAAUACCAAAACAUGAGGAGUGGGCAAUGGUGCUUCUGUGCUUUUCCCCCUUGUAACCCAUGUGCCAGAUGUGUGGAAUUUUUAGCUCAGCAUUGAGAGAAUAAAAUGUCACUACCUCUCAUCUUAUGAACAGGAUAAUAUAAUUCUUUAACAGCUAUAGGUUAUCUGGCUGAAGUAGACCUAAUUUUAUGUGACUUGUGGUGUAAAAUGUCUUGAUGAUAAUUUUUGAAACUUGGGUAACACUUCCAAAUAUGGGAGGAAAGGACAGAUGUGUUUACAAGGGAGGAUUUUACAACAUACUUGCUUUAUUCACCUCCCUGUUUUGUGUUGCGUCUUUCCUUGAAUAUUUUAUUGGCCCAGAGUUAGCCUUUCUCAAUUAUGUUUCCAGACUGUGGCCAUGAUUCUAAAGGAAAAUGUGUGCUCUUUAGUGGGUAGAACAAAUGGAAAUUUGGUUUCAGAAUGGCUGACAGAAAUCGACAUAAGUCAUGUAAUUUUUGUUGAUAUAUCAUGAAAAUGAACAGAAUUCUUUUUCCAUACUUACAUCUAAGAAAAGGCAUCAUAGGUUUCUGAGAGAGAUAACUAUAUAACAGCUUUUUAAUUAUCCAGUCAACUUUCAGCUUUUCUACAUUUAGGUAAAAUGGUUAGGAUAUAACUCAUGGUGUGGCUAAUCUACAUUUAUCAAUAAAAUGUAAAUUAUCUGAAAGGACAGAAUAUAAGAUUUAACCAUGUUUGAUGUAUUUUAAUUUAGUUAAUGAAGCAAAAUUCAGUUUAUAUUUCACUAGAACUGUGUACUUGAUUGAUUUUCAGAGAAAUAUCACAAAUUAGAAAUAUUAAAUCUAAGGAUGAAAGGUAUAUAUAAAACAAUUUGGGGGCCAGGCACGAUGGCUCAAACCUGUAAUCCCAGCACUUUGGGAGGCCAAGGCGGGUGGAUCACUUGAGGUCAGGAGUUCAAGACCAGCCUUGGCAAAAUGGCGAAACCCUGUCUCUACUAAAAAUACAAAAAUUAGCCGGGUGUGGUGGCACUUCUCUGUAAUCUCAGCUUCUCAGGAGGCUGAGACAGGAGAAUCGCCUGAACCUGGGAGGCGGAGGUUGCAGUGAGCUGAGAUCAUGCCACUGCACUCCAGCCUGGGUGACAGAGGGGAAACUCCGUCUCCAGGAAAAAAAAAAAACACCAAUUUGGAUACCAAAUUAAUCAACUAAUUUGAGCUAUCUGGCCUUACUCUUAGUAGUUUUUAGUACGUGCUGGACACCACUUUUAAAAAGCAAUCACUGUGCUAGAAAAGUAUAUUGGCUUUGUUAGGAUUAAAGUUCAUUAACUUCAAUGUAAUCAUGCCUCCUAUUACUGAAGUCAGAUUGGAACCACUAAAGAUCCAAACUUUCUGUCUGGUAAUAGAAAGUAAAAAUCUAGACAUCAUUUACAUUUGAGAAAGCUGUUUUUAACAUUAUUUUAAAAUGCCAAAUAUGUUCUUUCUAGAAAAAUAUUUGUUUUUGUUGGAUAGCUUUUAAUUACAUUUCAGAGAGGUGUAAUUUUGGGUAGAUGCUCAUUACAUUUUUGAAAGGUUUACUAUUCCAAAAUAAAGAUUUAGAUGACUGGUGAUACUGGCUUUACAGAAAUUUCAGAGAACUAAUUUUUAAAAUCUUUAGCAUUUAAAACUUUUUUUGUUUUGUUUUCUGACAUAUUCUGACAAAGAGCAGCAAACCACUGCUGUGUGGCAUUCUUGGAGUGUGCUGUGAAUGUGCUUUUUAAGAAAUUAAAAAGAGAUCAUUUUAAAA